UAAACAUUGACAGUUAAUUACACCCACUGUCCGCCCGGGUACUACGAGCGCUAGCUUAAAACCCAAAGGACUUGGCGGUGCUUUAGACCCACCUAGAGGAGCCUGUUCUAGAACCGAUAAUCCCCGUUAAACCUCACCCUUCCUUGUUCUUUCCCGCCUAUAUACCACCGUCGUCAGCUUACCCUGUGAAGGCCCUACAGUAAGCACAAUCGGCAAUGCCCAAUACGUCAGGUCGAGGUGUAGCGAAUGGAAGGGGAAGAAAUGGGCUACAUUUACUAAUACAGUAAAUACGGAUGAUCACCCUGCAAUGAGUAUCUGAAGGAGGAUUUAGCAGUAAGCAAAAAACAGAGUGUUUUGCUG
rnacentral:rRNA from 1 species